rnacentral:rRNA from 1 species
GAUGAACGCUGGCGGCGUGCUUAACACAUGCAAGUCGAACGAAGCAUUUAGAACAGUUUACUUCGGUUUGUGGCUCUUUAUGACUGAGUGGCGGACGGGUGAGUAACGCGUGGGUAACCUGCAUUGUACUGGGGGAUAGCAGCUGGAAACGGCUGGUAAUACCGCAUAAGGGCCCAAUGUUGAAUGACAUGGUGUGAAAAACUCCGGAGGUAUAAGAUGGACCGGCGUCUGAUUAGAUAGUUGGUGAGUUACAAGCCGACCAAGCCGACGAUCAGUAGCCGACCAGCGAGGGUGCCCGGCCACAUCGGGACUGAGGCACGGCCCAGACUCCUACGGGAGGCAGCAGUGGGGAAUAGUGCACAAUGGAGGAAAGUCUGAUGCAGCUACGCCGCGUGAAUGAAUAAGUAAUUCGUUAAGUAAAGCUCUAUCAGCCGAUAAGAUAGUGACGGUACCUUACUAAGAAGCUCCGGCUAAAUUCGUG